rnacentral:rRNA from 1 species
AUUGAACGCUGGCGGCAGGCUUAACACAUGCAAGUCGAGCGGGGUGAUGGUGCUUGCACUAUCACUUAGCGGCGGACGGGUGAGUAAUGCUUAGGAAUCUGCCUAUUAGUGGGGGACAACAUCUCGAAAGGGAUGCUAAUACCGCAUACGUCCUACGGGAGAAAGCAGGGGAUCACUUGUGACCUUGCGCUAAUAGAUGAGCCUAAGUCGGAUUAGCUAGUUGGUGGGGUAAAGGCCUACCAAGGCGACGAUCUGUAGCGGGUCUGAGAGGAUGAUCCGCCACACUGGGACUGGGACACGGCCCAGACGCCUACGGGAGGCAGCAGUGGGGAAUAUUGGACAAUGGGGGGAACCCUGAUCCAGCCAUGCCGCGUGUGUGAAGAAGGCCUUAUGGUUGUAAAGCACUUUAAGCGAGGAGGAGGCUCUUUUGGUUAAUACCCAAGAUGAGUGGACGUUACUCGCAGAAUAAGCACCGGCUAACUCUGUGCCAGCCGCCGCCGUAAGAC